rnacentral:rRNA from 1 species
GACGAACGCUGGCGGCGUGCUUAACACAUGCAAGUCGAACGGGCCUUGUCCCCUUUUUUUUUGGGGGUGGGGUUAGUGGCGAACGGGUGAGUAACACGUGAGUAACCUGCCCCUCACUUCUGGAUAACCGCUUGAAAGGGUGGCUAAUACGGGGUGUUCUGGCCUGCUCGCAUGGGUGGGUUUGGAAAGAUUCGACCGGUUUUGGUUGUUUUGGUGGGGGAUGGGCUCGCGGCCUAUCAGCUUGUUGGUGGGGUGAUGGCCUGCCAAGGCUUUGACGGGUAGCCGGCCUGAGAGGGUGGGCGGUCACACUGGGACUGGGACACGGCCCAGACUCCUACGGGAGGCAGCAGUGGGGAAUAUUGCACAAUGGGCGCAAGCCUGAUGCAGCGACGCCGCGUGAGGGAUGGAGGCCUUCGGGUUGUGAACCUCUUUCGCCAGUGAAGAAGGUCCUGCUCUUUGUGGUGGGGUUGACGGUAGCUGGGUUAAUGAAGCGCCGGCUAACUACGUG